rnacentral:rRNA from 1 species
GACGAACGCUGGCGGCGUGCCUAACACAUGCAAGUCGAGCGAGGAGGAGGAAGCUUGCUUCCGAAUCCUAGCGGCGGACGGGUGAGUAACGCGUGAGUAACCUGCCUUACAGAGGGGGACAACAGUUGGAAACGACUGCUAAUACCGCAUAAUGUCUAACCGAGGCAUCUCGGAUAGACCAAAGGAGCAAUCCGCUGUAAGAUGGACUCGCGUCCAAUUAGAUAGUUGGUGGGGUAACGGCCCACCAAGUCGACGAUUGGUAGCCGGACUGAGAGGUUGACCGGCCACAUUGGGACUGAGAUACGGCCCAGACUCCUACGGGAGGCAGCAGUGGGGAAUAUUGGGCAAUGGACGCAAGUCUGACCCAGCAACGCCGCGUGAAGGAAGAAGGCUUUCGGGUUGUAAACUUCUUUUAAGGGGGAAGAGUAGAAGACGGUACCCUUGAAUAAGCCACGGCUAACUACGUG